UACGUAGGGGGCAAGCGUUGUCCGGAUUUAUUGGGCGUAAAGAGCGUGUAGGCGGCUUUGCAGGUCCGUUGUGAAAACUCGAGGCUCAACCUCGAGACGCCGGUGGAAACCGUAAAGCUAGAGUCCGGAAGAGGAGAGUGGAAUUCCUGGUGUAGCGGUGAAAUGCGCAGAUAUCAGGAGGAGCACCGGUGGCGAAGGCGGGUCUCUGGGCAGUAACUGACGCUGAGGAGCGAAAGCGUGGGGAGCGAACAGG
rnacentral:rRNA from 1 species